UACAGAGGUCUCAAGCGUUGUUCGGAUUCAUUGGGCGUAAAGGGUGCGUAGGUGGCGAGGUUAGUCAGGUGUGAAAUCUCGGGGCUCAACCCCGAAACUGCACUUGAUACUGCCUUGCUAGAGUACUGGAGAGGAGAUUGGAAUUUACGGUGUAGCAGUGAAAUGCGUAGAUAUCGUAAGGAAGACCAGUGGCGAAGGCGGGUCUCUGGACAGUUCCUGAUCGGCUGAGGCACGAAGGCCAGGGGAGCAAACGGG
rnacentral:rRNA from 1 species